rnacentral:rRNA from 1 species
UACGAAGGGUGCAAGCGUUAAUCGGAAUUACUGGGCGUAAAGGGUGUGUAGGCGGUUCUUUAAGUCGGAUGUGAAAUCCCCGGGCUCAACCUGGGAAUGGCAUCCGAUACUGGGGAGCUAGAGUUUGGGAGAGGGUGAUGGAAUUCCCGGUGUAGCGGUGAAAUGCGUAGAGAUCGGGAGGAACACCAGUGGCGAAGGCGGUCACCUGGCCUAAAACUGACGCUGAGACACGAAAGCGUGGGGAGCAAAC